rnacentral:lncRNA from 1 species
AGUAAAGAAAUUGCUGAUGUUAGUACAGUUUGGCCACUUGGAUUUGGACUCUGGACUUUUAUUGUUUAAAAAAAGUUAGCUUUAACUUAACUGUUAGUAAAACCAAAAAUAAUUGGCAUUCUUAGGUGAGUAAUUCAUUUUAUUGAUGGGAAAGAACUGAUACUGUAUUUAAGGCUGGUGAUCAAUUCUUGAAGUGGUUUGACAGCCCAGCUCUGGAGAGAACACAAUUUGAAUCUUAAUUCCUCCAAUAUGAUCUUAAGCAAGUUACUUAAAUCUAUGUCUUGUCCCACAAAAUGUAGACCAUAUGACCUCCCCAUUAGGGUUGCUCUGUGAACUCAUUCAGCAAGUGUCUGUGGACAUGGCCACAAUGGAGCUUAUGUGCACCUAGAGGAGCCGGGAAAUAAAAUAGAUUGGCUAAAGUCCUAAGGGAAAUAGACUAGAAAAUAUGAUGGUAACAGGGACAGGUACCUUUUUAAAGAAUAGAUGUCACGUGUGUAGCACUUUUUCUGAGACCUAAAGAAUCAAACAACUGUGUGAUAAAUGAUUAAAUGAAUUAAUAACUGCAAAGUAUUUGGUAUAAUGCUUAUUGUGCAAAAAAAAAAAAGGCAUUCUAAGUCCAAAAGGAAUUCAACAUUGUCGUGCACAUU